rnacentral:misc_RNA from 1 species
GCUCACUCUCAUUCUUGCUCUGAGCAUUGCUGAAAUUUUAAAAGAGAAAGCAAUUGAUCAUUGAUGCUGCACUUAAUACUUAUUUGUCCAUCGCAAUUGCUUUUGCAUUGAAUAUGCUUGGUAGCAUGUGACAAUUAAAAUUCACUGUGCCAUGCUUUUAUAUAUUUUUCAUCUAUUUUCUAAUGAAAGAACAUACGUUCUGUAGGUAGAACUCAAAAAGGUAUGUCUGGGAGUCAAAAGUCUGCAUUCUUUUUUGAAAUAUAUUUUUCUUGGAACUACUGCUUGAAUUAUUUAUUGUUGAUUUAUUUGUUAAGGCCUCAACUUCAACUUUUCUUUGUCUGUGAAUCGAGUCACUUUUACUUAGGGAUGUAAUCGAACCGAGUCCAGCGUUGGCUUGUUCAGG